CCUACGUGGAUUUCGUCUCCAGCGACGCCACGGCGCGGCGCGCCAGGGGACAAGGGGAAUCGCUCGCUUUGACCUGCGCGCAGCCGCAAGUUGAGGUGCCCGUGGUGUGGGCGUAUCAAUGGUAGGCUAGAGAUGAGGUGUGAGAAGCGGAGAACGCGCAGGGCCGCCGCAUUGCCAACCGAUCCCGGUGCCGGCCCGUGACGCCGACGCCGCGUGCCGGACGCCGAGGGAACGGCCAAAAUCAACAGCAGGGAGUCCGGCUUCUAUCGUGGCCCUGCAGCCGCACAGCCUGCACCUGUACCGGCGGUAUGUGAAGGAGAAGAGAUCCGUGGGAGGCGCACGGGAAACCACUGGCGGCCGCGGCGACGUGCGCCGGCUGUUGGAAGCAUGGGGUUUGGUUUGGGACGCUGCCUGCCCUCACCGCCUGCAGGGGGCCACCGGUUUUGCGGUGCGGAUCCAACGGACACGACCAGGAGUCCACGAUCGCCGAUGCCGGCCUGGCUCCGUCAGAUCACAGGACCCGGCAGGUAAGCAAGGCAAUCAUCGGAUCGUUCGGAAACCUGAUGAUUCGC
rnacentral:lncRNA from 1 species